GACGUAGGGCGCGAGCGUUGUCCGGAUUUAUUGGGCGUAAAGAGCUCGUAGGCGGCUUGUCGCGUCGGCUGUGAAAACUGGAGGCUCAACCUUCAGAGGUCGACCGAAACCAUCUGGCUAGAGUCCGGGAGAGGAGAGUGGAAUUCCUGGUGUAGCGGUGAAAUGCGCAGAUAUCAGGAAGAACACCCGUGGCGAAAGCGGCUCUCCGGAACGGUACUGACGCUGAGACGCGAAAGCGUGGGGAGCGAACAGG
rnacentral:rRNA from 1 species